rnacentral:rRNA from 1 species
AUGGAGUCAUUAACUCGUGAUCAGUUUGCCCUAAUUUCGAUAACUCUGUGGUCGAUAUGGUACGCGAGGCGCAAGGCGAUCCAUGAGGGAAUUUUCCAGAGCCCCCAAGCAGUUCAGAAUUUUAUUAGCAGGUACUGUGAUGAGCUUAAAAUGCUUCGGCCUACUGUUAUACGGACGGCCGCACGUACGGGCACAGCAGGUCCUCAUCGGCCCAAGGCUCCACCAUUGGGUUUUGCCAAAAUACACGUGGAUGCUGCAGUCCGGCCAGGGAGAGGCGGUUCAGCAGUUGCGGUAUGCCGUGAUUCAAGUGGAAAUUAUCUUGGGAGCUCAGCUCUUGUGGUGGAGGGCGUGGAUGACCCAGCUUCUUUGGAAGCGUUGGCAUGCAGAGAAGCAAUAUGUCUUGCGGAGGAUCUUCUCAUCAACAACUUCAUAGUUGCAUCGGAUUGUAAGCAAGUUGUCUCGGACAUCAAUUCAGGCAGCAGAGGACAGUAUGGGGCCAUUGUGUCUGAAAUCAAUCUUCGGUCUACUCUUUUUCAAUGUUCUUUUUCUUUUAAAAGUCGUGCUGUUAAUUAUGAAGCACAUAGCCUAGUCAAAUUCUCUCUUAGAAGGGGUCCGGGGCGCCACUUGUGGCUUGGCGAUCCCCAUGACCGGUCUUGUAUCCCACUCUCUGUGGAUUUUGAGUAA